AGAGUCCCCAGCGCCGAGGGAGCCUGGCGCUGGAGAAAGGUAAGUGUAUAACCCCUUCCUCCCCCUAGAGCCCGGCGGGAGGGGACCUAUUAAUACUAUAGUGCCUGGAAAACGAGUUUGUUUUUCAGGCACUAUAGUGGUACUUUAAGGACACAAGCAUUUUUUUUUGCGGUUUGUGUUCAACCUCAGUAUGCCUUUUUCUUAUUUAUUGCACCAACACGUUGUAUAUCGUUUUUUUAAAG